rnacentral:lncRNA from 1 species
ACCUUCUCUUUUUAUUGUUAAGUAGCCAUUACUUUAUUUCUUUAUUCUUUUCUCUUUCUCUCUCCUUUUUUUUUUUAAACAUCCCUUUUUAUAACCAAGUUGUUUCUAGCAUCUUGGGAGAUUAAGGGUUUGAUGAAAUACGUUUAUGUUGACAGUGUUCCCUAUCUCCUUAGCCUGUUAAAUUUCUAGUUAUCCUUCAGUGCACUGCUCAGAUACUACCUUUUCUGUAAAAUAGCACCGUCACUGUCAAUUCUCCCCUAAACUCCUAUAGCACCGUGCACUUGCAUUAUACCCCUUCCCAUUUUGUAGAAGGAAGGUUCUCUACCUGUUGGCUUUCCUCACCAGUCAGUGAGCAUCUCAGAGUAAGGAUUUGUGUCUGAAGCUUAUUUAUAUUUUUAGCUCCAAUCACAGAAAUUCACAUCUUGCAGUGAUCAGUAAAAGCUGAGUGAAAGAAUGAAUAAAUACAUAGAGGAAUUUAAAAAAAAAAAAUCACGUGAACCCAGAUUCUUCUAGCUGGAGUAACUUGUAAUUGAAAUAGCAGUGAACUGUCAACUCUUGUGAUCCUUGCUUAUUAUUUUAUAUUGAUCUUUUCAUUUAACAGGGGAAAAUAGAAAUAUGUUUUCUUGUUGGAAAAUAUAUGUGAAAACAAUGAAAUCUAGAUAGGAAAAGAUGAUAAGAAGUCAGUUAUUAAAGAUCUUUAUGGCUAAGACCAAUGCUAAUAUUUUAUCCUAGGAAACAGAAUCUACCUCUGACCCCACAGACAUCUGGAAAUAUUAUUUCUAGGGUAAGAAAUGAACCAAGUCUGGUAGAUCAUGGGUAGGCCCAGAUAUGCAAAGAAUAAAGAAUGGGCUGGACCCAGCACAGAACCAAGAGCCUGAAGCCACAUAAACAGGCCAGAUUACAAGAACCUUUUGACACUUGGCAUAAAAAAGAAGCAAGACCAUGGAAACCAGGUGGAUAGGCAGGAAAGUGCGCUAGGGACAGGAUUCAGGAUAAGCAACAAGUCACACAAGAAAAUAACAUAAAUUAUGGUUGUAUGAAGCUCAAAACCCAGUAUUUUGGGAACAAGGAAAACAAUCAGAGAUCAGAGGGAAAAAAGUGAUCCAAAAUCUAAGCCAAGAUGAGGGAAUAUAAUCAUGACACAAGUUGAUGGGAAAGCAGUAUUGGGGAAGACGCAGAAUCAAAAGAACCAGGGGGUAGACCAGCAGUGCCAGCAGCUUUCUAAGUUGGUGAGACAAAGCCAAGAGCCUUCUGUCCUCUAUAUACAUGGAGGAUGUGCCAUCCUUGCAAUGCUUUUAGCUCCCUUUCUACUGUUCCUUAAAAAUAGCAGAACUGUGGCUUUUAUUAAGGAAAGCUAUUGUUUAAAUUUUUAAAACUGUCACAGCAUUGUCUACUUUGCUCCUUACGUUGAAUGUUUGAGAUAGGUAGGAAAGUAUUUUUAAAACUGUUUUCGUGACAUUGGACUUAUACCCAGAAUAUAUAAGGAACCCAUAACCAAUAACAGUAAGACUAACAACCUGUUAAAAUGAGCGAAAGGGCUUACGCUGAAACUCAGCAAAGGAAGAUGUAGAGAUGGCCAACAAUUACAUGAAGAUGCUCAGCAUCAUUAAUAAUCAGGAACAUACGAGUUAAAACCUCCACUCAAGACCAUGAAUACCACUUCACUGAUGAUACCAAGGAGGGAGACACAGAAGAAGCAAGACACAGAAGAGUUGAUCUACAGGAUUCAAUUUAUGUGAAGUUCUAAGACAGGCAGAGCUAAGCUAUAGUAACAAAUCAGAAAGUGGGUGCUUUGGUUUACAGAAAUUGACUUAAAAGGGUCAGGAGGGAAUUUCUGGGGUAAUGGAAAUGUUCUAUACUUAUUUAAAACUUUUUCUUUUUUUAUUAGAGAAAGAGUAAGUGAGAGAGAGAGCACAAGCAGGGGGAGCAGGAGAGGGAGAAGCAGGCUCCCCACAGAGUAGGGAGCCUGAUGCGGAGCUCCAUCCCCUGGGAUCAUGACAGUAUACUUAAGGGUUGUGCAUUUUGUUAUGUAUAAAUUAUAUCUUUACAAAAGAAGAAAAUCAGGUUCAGAGAAGUGAAGAUACUUCCUUAAAGUAAGGCAGCAAAUAAAGGGCAGAACCAGUCCUUGAACCCAGGCCAGCCGAUACCAGAGUUAGAGCCCCUUUGGUUACAUCACCUUCCCUGAGCAUACACAGAAGGUGAAGAACAGUUGAGCACAUCUGCAGGGGAGCAGAAAGAAGACUCCUUUGUACCAGGGGAAGGAAUGGCAGUAGUCACCGAGGUCACAUUUCUGUCCUGGGCAUGAGGCCUGUGAUGGAAAGAGCCGGUUCCAUCUGGCCACCUGCAGGAGUAAUUAGGAGGGCUUGACAGAUGCUGGAGGAGAGAUAAGCAUCACCAUCCAGCUCAUAGAUCCUGCCAGGAGAGAAGGUAUGAAGGUUAUUCUUUGGUGGGUAUCCACCUUGGGUAGUAAAUAAUCAACUCAUUUCAUUUUUAAGACCUUUCAAAAGACUAUGAACUAUGCCUUUCCAUUCCAAGAAAAUAGAAGCUACAAACAAAAGGAGAAAAAUUCAAUACUUCCUAGGUCUUUUUCUCUGGUAGUAACCUCAGAUCUUUUAUAUUGCUUGCUAAAAAACAGUGUAUGUUUUAACAAAAGUAGGAUCAUACUAUAUGUGCCAUUUUGUGAUGUGCUUUCUAAAGAACAUCUCUCUGAUGGAAGAUAUACAUAGAUAUCCUUUCUCUUGAGUGCGUCACGUCCCAUGGAUGGGUAUAUCCAAAUAGGUUGCACCAAACCUUGCAGUUACUUAUGUUGUUUCCAGGCGUUUUGCUGGAAACAUGUUGUACGUGCAUGUUUGCUCAUUUCUUUAGUGACUUCCUCAGGGAAAGUUCCUAGAAGUGGGAAUUCUGGGUCAAAAGUGAGGUUUGGACAUCUCAUUCAUAUUGUCAUUUUUUUUCUUUUUGGAAUGGUUUUACCAAUUCACAUCCUCACCAGCGGUGAAUUCGCGUGUUGUCCUAGGUCACCCGGAUGCACACUGCAAGUUCAGUUCCUGUGUUACGUACCACCUGUUUUCAUGAAAACGUGGUCUGGCAGGGUUAAAAAUUACCUUUGAUGUUGUCGGUUCCAUCUCCUAAGCAAUGCCUGAAUCCCCUUUUGGAGUCUGCUGGUUUGAAAAUGAAAAAUACUUCUUUUAAAAAUGUUAAUUUGAGAACAUGAUUGAUGUUCGAACAUAGUCAAAAAAUUGAAGGAGCUGGAGAGACCAGUGAUCGUGGGGUCCAAAUGCCUCGGUUUCACGGCUGGCUGUCUCGUCACCUAUCACUGUGGGCGGUCCUGGGCAAGUUCCUUGCUUGCCCUGCCCAAGCUCCAUGGCCCCGUGUCUAAGGUGAGGGACUAAGGAGGACCCAAUCUCUAUGUUGUCUUCACUUAUGACAUUCUAUAAAUCUUCGGCUUUGUAAAGCAUUCCUCUCAAAGGCUGGGCUUGUAAAUUUUAAGUGUCAGACCUUUGAAAUGCAGCUUGUGUGGGAAAGGAAAAAAACCUAGCAGCUAGUUUGCUGCUGGAUCAGAAUUCUAUGUUCUUUGUGAAGUAAUAAAUUGUGUCUUGGCUCCCGGAUUAUUCCAGGUUGCCUCGGGUUUUGUGGAAGUGGCUUUUUCAGGAAUUGUUCCCAUUGCCGGAAAGUGGGUGUUAAUUUGUGCCUUGGCUGUUUUUCAGGGCACACUCUGGCAAAGGCCUGGCAGGUUUUUUUUUUUUUUCAAAGGAUCAGCAGAAGCAGGGACUUGUUUGUUGCUCUCCUUGCACAGUGACACACACCCUCUGCUAAUAACCAGAUUUAGACCUAUAGUCAGAGGCCUCAGUUGUAGAAUGGGCCGCUUUCCCUGGGCCUCGGCAGGGGUCUUGGACCAAGUGAAAACACUCUGCUCAACAACAUAUCAUAGGAAACAGGAGAGGCAAAGGCAUAGAAACUGCAUAGUGUUCCCAAUAAAUUAUCUGACAUCCAUUGAAAUGGGGUCCAGGUAGGGUCCUGGAAGAGGAGACAAAACUAAGAAAAGUGAGGAGGGAAUACAGUGGAAUGACAUUGGUAUUUGACUUUCUGUAGUUUGCAGCCUGUGUUGUUCUAUCUUAUUUACUCCACACGCUAUCCCUGGGAUGCUGUUGGCAUGUUGCCCCCAGUCUGCCCAGCAAGUGAAUGCAAGAGAGAAGUGGUGAGUGGCUCAGUUGCAUCUAGAGCUCGGCUUGAAUUCCCCUAAAUCUCUGCUUUCUUGGCAGGUUUUUGCAGUCUCUCAUCUCCUUCCUCUUCUCUCUCACCUGUCUAUCGCAACAACUGAAAAAUAGCUCUUCUUUCUUACCCUGUGAGUCCGUGGUCACAAAUUAAAGUCCUUUGUCAAUCUGCAGGAUACUGCACUUGGAAACCACCGCCUGGCCUGGGAUUCCCAGCUGUGCUUCGGUCAUUCAGCCUUUGCAAUUUAUGCCACAUUCAUGUACCACGUGUACUUUGAUUUAUUUCAUAUUUGUCUUCAAAUAAAUGCACUCUUUCAUUCUCUUGUUCCAAGCACUACAAUUUCUGUGAAAUCAUCCAUUUGAUGUGCCAGAUAAUAGUCUUCUAAUAUACCUUAAAAUAAUUCACUAUUAUUUUUAAAUGUCCAUUUAAUUUUAGAGCUAUUACAUUUUUUUAGAUUGGUCAUUUGUAUUCUAGUCAUGUGUCUUGUUCAUACCCCCAUUGGUGUAUUUACCAUCCUCUGAGAAAUUAGUUAAUUAAAGAAAAGUUAAAACUCAUUUCUUCGGUUGAAUUAGCCUCAUCUUAAAUGCUCAGUAGCCACUGUGGCUGGUGGCUACCACUUGGACGGUACAGACAGAGAAAAUUGUACUGGGUGGCUCUGAGUUUGCCCCGGGGUGUGUUGACUGCUUUCAUUGGCUCAAGCAAAGCUAAUUAUGUAUGGUGAGGUUACCGAAACAACUGUGAAUGGUGGUUAAUUUAGGAAGUGCUAAGAAAAAUGUCAAAUAAUAGUUUAUUCCAGGGAUACCUGGGUGGCUCAGUGGUUGAACAUCCGCCUUCGGCUCAGGAUGUGAUCCUGGAGUCCUGGGAUCCAGUCCCCCAUCAGGCUCCCCGCAAGGAGCCUGCUUCUCCCUCUGCCUGUGUCUCUGCCUCUCUCUCUGUGUCUCUCAUGAAUAAAUUAAUAAAAUCUUUAAAAAAAUAGUUUAUUCCAAUAACCAUUGUCCAAGUAAGCAGCGAAGCAAGUAGAACGUAUUCGAACUCAAGUAACAAAUCUACUUCAGUGUGCUCUAAGCCACCUCUCUCCUGCAGCCCUCUCUGUCUCUCCAUCCCUAGCCCCCACUGCCCCCUCCACCCUCCCAGUCUCUCUCCUUUCUGUGCAUGGCUGUGUGUGUUUUCUGCUUUCCUGCUCCUUCCACCUCUUGCUCCAACUCUGCAUGUCCUGGCCUCCGUCCUUUUUCUCCCUUUUUCCCUAGGUUCCUUUCACCUUCCCAACCAGAAACUUCCCUCAUUCAAAACCCAAGUGUGUUUGGAUUUCGUUUUGUAAAUUAUUCCUCAGUUGCAAUCAUUUCAGGCCAAAGGACAUUUUUGGCUGUAACAUGAACAAGGGAUACCUCCUAGUGGUAUCCAUGGAGAUGUGGCCAACUGCACACUGGACCUCUCUGCUUAGAAGUCCACUGACAUCUCAUCAUCAGAAUGCCUGAAACUGAACCAUUUCUCACACAAGCCCCUGGCUGCCCCUCACUGAUGUAACCACACCCAACUACUGGCUUUAGCCUACUCCUCAUCCAAAGCCACCUUUGAAAAAACAAGAGAAUUUUUUAAAAAUAUUUUUAUUUAUUUAUUUGACAGAGAGAGAAUGUAUGCAUACAAGUAGGCAGAGAGGCAGAUAGAGGGAGAGGGAAAGACUUCCCAUGAGCAGAGAGACCAAUGCGGGGCCCAAUCCAGGACCCCAGGAUCAUGACCUGAGCUGAAGGCAGAUGCUUAAGACUGAGCCACCCAGGAUCCCCAAACAAGAGAGUUUUUGACCACACUUCUCUUCAGGCCCAUAGAAGAGGAGCCCAAAGCUACCAGUGGUUACCUUUGACGAGCAGGCUAAAAGCUGGGAAUUGCUUUAAAACUUGAUGCAACUUCUCUUAAAAUAAAAAACGACCCUGCUAAUGCUUGAAAAGUUUGAGACGAUCCCCAGAGAGGGAAGUGCUGCAGAGACAUAUGCAUUCAUUGUCUGUUGGCCAUGAAUGUUGAGGAGAGCAGACCAGACCCCAUUCUCGUUUUAAUUAUCCAGAGACCCCAGAGAGAAGAGCAAAAGAGAGGUUGGACCCGAGAGCUUUGAAAAGUGCAGGAUGCGCUGGAGAACGUAUAUGCAUUGCUUGAUUGCACAAAAUAGAUCCUUCCUUAGGAGGACAAAGUUGAGACUUUCUCUUAUUCCGUGCAGAGAAAUGUGUUUCCUCUCCUACUCCCACCCCAUCCCAUUCUAAAUGUAUUCAAUUAGGCUAUGGAAAAUUUAGUUCCUCUUGCUAAUUUAUACAGAAAGUUAUGAUACCUUGGGAUCUUCAUCUGUCAGCUGUAAACCUUAAAUAUGGGAUUGAUUAUUCCCAGGAAGGUGAUGUGAUGAUCUGCUCUCUUUCUCAGACAAAGGAAGGCAUUUGUCCAAAAUGCAGAGUCCCUACCUGGGUGGGAGUCAUAGCACCAUCCUUCUGGCUGGGUUCUGUACUGCUCCACUCUACGAAAAAGAGAAAUAGAUCCAAGUUUAACAAAUGUUAAUCUUACUAAAGUUUAAAAUCUACGCUGUCCUCUGGCUAGUAAUAACCAUAACAACUAUUUGUUGAAUGAUUGGAAUUCAGCAGUGUGUUAGGUGCUGUAGAUGCAACCUCAUUAAUCCUCAUCACAACCCUGAUAGUGUAAACCCCUUUCCCCCAUAUUUUAGUUUGAGGAAUUUUGAGUCUGAGAGAGGUAAACAACCUGCCAAGGUCACGCAGCCAAUGAGUGGCAGAGCUCAGAUUCAAACCCAGUCAGUCCAAUGCCAGAGUUCUGUCUUUGGAAGCUGUAGUUCUGUAUUUGUUUUAUCAUCAAAUGUUUAUUGAGGGUUACUAUGGGCCAGGCACUAUACUAGGCUCAGGAGAUACUACAAUGAACAAUAAAGAAGAGAUCCCUGAUCAUUUGGAGGAGCAUCUAUCUAGAGAGGAAAGACAA